UGGACUGAGUGGUUUCUGUUGUGCCAAUAAGGAGGAAAAUAGAAGCUUCUUCACCUUUGAGUGCAGUCGGGUCUUCAUUCAAUGGCAGGUACUAUGGAAGUAAUUCUCCUCACCUACAAAGACAAGGGCAUGAAAGGCAGGAAUAAGACCCAACAUUGCACAAAACAAUGACACAGUGGUGAAGAUGUUCGAGAUGUUACCACUGGAACUUCUCUCACUUCACCACCCCUGAC